rnacentral:rRNA from 1 species
GACGAACGCUGGCGGCGUGCUUAACACAUGCAAGUCGAACGGAAAGGCCCUGCUUUUGUGGGGUGCUCGAGUGGCGAACGGGUGAGUAACACGUGAGUAACCUGCCCUUGACUUUGGGAUAACUUCAGGAAACUGGGGCUAAUACCGGAUAGGAGCUCCUGCUGCAUGGUGGGGGUUGGAAAGUUUCGGCGGUUGGGGAUGGACUCGCGGCUUAUCAGCUUGUUGGUGGGGUAGUGGCUUACCAAGGCUUUGACGGGUAGCCGGCCUGUGAGGGUGACCGGCAACAUGGGGACUGAGAUAAGGCCCAGACUCCUACGGGAGGCAGCAGUGGGGAAUAUUGCACAAUGGGCGGAAGCCUGAUGCAGCAACGCCGCGUGCGGGAUGACGGCCUUCGGGUUGUAAACCGCUUUCGCCUGUGACGAAGCGUGAGUGACGGUAAUGGGUAAAGAAGCACCGGCUAACUACGUG